UGGGGAAUAUUGGACAAUGGGCGCAAGCCUGAUCCAGCAAUGCCGCGUGAGUGAUGAAGGCCUUAGGGUUGUAAAGCUCUUUUACCCGGGAUGAUAAUGACAGUACCGGGAGAAUAAGCUCCGGCUAACUCCGUGCCAGCAGCCGCGGUAAUACGGAGGGAGCUAGCGUUGUUCGGAAUUACUGGGCGUAAAGCGCGCGUAGGCGGCUGCUCAAGUCAGAGGUGAAAGCCCGGGGCUCAACCCCGGAACUGCCUUUGAAACUAGGUAGCUAGAAUCUUGGAGAGGUCAGUGGAAUUCCGAGUGUAGAGGUGAAAUUCGUAGAUAUUCGGAAGAACACCAGUGGCGAAGGCGACUGACUGGACAAGUAUUGACGCUGAGGUGCGAAAGCGUGGGGAGCAAACA
rnacentral:rRNA from 1 species